GACGAACGCUGGCGGCGUGCUUAACACAUGCAAGUCGAACGGUAAGGCCCUUCGGGGUACACGAGCGGCGAACGGGUGAGUAACACGUGGGUGAUCUGCCCUGCACUGCGGGAUAAGCGUGGGAAACUGGGUCUACUCCCGGACAGGACUCCUGGCUUCAGGGUUGGUGGUUGAAAGCUUUUGCGGUGUGGGAUGGGUCCGCGGCCUAUCAGCGUGUUGGUGGGGUAAUGGCCUAACAAGGCGACGACGGGUAGCCGGCCUGAGAGGGUGACCGGUCACACUGGGACUGAGAUACGGCCCAGACUCCAACGGGAGGCAGCAGUGGGGAAUAUUGCACAAUGGGCGCAAGCCUGAUGCAGCGACGCCGCGUGAGGGAUGACGGCCUUCGGGUUGUAAACCUCUUUCAGCUAUGACGAAGCGCAAGUGACGGUAGUAGCAGAAGAAGGACCGGCCAACUACGUGCCAGCCGCCGCCGUAA
rnacentral:rRNA from 1 species